AUUUUCAUAGUUUAAUUAAAACAUUACACUUUCACCGUAAAAAUAAUAUAAAUUUGUAAAUA
rnacentral:tRNA from 1 species